rnacentral:rRNA from 1 species
GAUGAACGCUGGCGGCGUGCCUAAUACAUGCAAGUCGAGCGAACAGACGAGGAGCUUGCUCCUCUGACGUUAGCGGCGGACGGGUGAGUAACACGUGGAUAACCUACCUAUAAGACUGGGAUAACUUCGGGAAACCGGAGCUAAUACCGGAUAAUAUAUUGAACCGCAUGGUUCAAUAGUGAAAGACGGUUUUGCUGUCACUUAUAGAUGGAUCCGCGCCGCAUUAGCUAGUUGGUAAGGUAACGGCUUACCAAGGCAACGAUGCGUAGCCGACCUGAGAGGGGGAUCGGCCCAACUGGGACUGAGACAAGGUUCCAGAUUCCUACGGAAGGAAGCGGUGGGAAACCUUCGGCAAGGGGCGAAGGCCGGCCGGAGCAAGGCGGGGUGAGUGAGGAAGGCCUUCGGAUGGAAAACCCCUGUUAUUAGGAAAAAAAAAAUGUGUAAGUAACUAUGCACGUCUUGACGGUACCAAAUAAGAAAGCCACGGCUAACUACGU